UACAGAGGGGGCAAGCGUUGUUCGGAAUUACUGGGCGUAAAGGGCGCGUAGGCGGCCUGCUAAGUCGAACGUGAAAUCCCUGGGCUCAACCCAGGAACUGCGUCCGAUACUGGAUGGCUUGAAUCCGGGAGAGGGAUGCAGAAUUCCAGGUGUAGCGGUGAAAUGCGUAGAUAUCUGGAGGAAUACCGGUGGCGAAGGCGGCAUCCUGGACCGGCAUUGACGCUGAGGAGCGAAAGCCAGGGGAGCAAACGGG
rnacentral:rRNA from 1 species